rnacentral:rRNA from 1 species
UACGAAGGGGGCUAGCGUUGUUCGGAGUUACUGGGCGUAAAGGGUGUGUAGGCGGUUCUUUUAAGUUUGGUGUGAAAUCUCCCGCUCAACCGGGAGGGUGCGCCGAAUACUGAGGGACUAGAGUGCGGGAGAGGAAAGUGGAAUUCCUGGUGUAGCGGUGAAAUGCGUAGAUAUCAGGAGGAACACCGGUGGUGUAGACGGCUUCUGGACCGUAACUGACGCUGAAACACGAAAGCGUGGGUAGCAAACAGG